GGAGAGGUGGCAGAGUGGUAAUGCAGCAGCCUGCUAAGCUGUCAUCCUUCUUGGAUGCCCGGGUUCGAAUCCCGGUCUCUCCGCUA
rnacentral:tRNA from 2 species